rfam:Caenorhabditis elegans chromosome X
GGAGGCAUGGCUCAGUGGCAACAAGUUCGACUAACAAUCAAAAAUGAUCAUAUGUUUUGGGUUCAAUUCCCACUGCCUCCG